CAUCUUCAGGAUGAAGAAGUUACCACGUACAUGUUGGCCGGACUGGGUCCGGACUAUGAUUCACUGGUCACCUCCAUCACAACCCGAGUUGAACCGGUGUCUCUCACUGAUCUCUAUGCCCACAUGCUAGGUUUUGAGA